rnacentral:rRNA from 1 species
GACGAACGCUGGCGGCGCGCCUAACACAUGCAAGUCGAACGGAGCUGAGAGAAGCUUGCUUUUCUUAGCUUAGUGGCGAACGGGUGAGUAACGCGUGCGUAACCUGCCCUGGAGUGGGGGACAACAGUUGGAAACGACUGCUAAUACCGCAUAAGCCCACGAUCCGGCAUCGGCUUGAGGGAAAAGGAUUUAUUCGCUUCAGGAUGGACUCGCGUCCAAUUAGCUAGUUGGUGAGGUAACGGCCCACCAAGGCGACGAUUGGUAGCCGGACUGAGAGGUAGAACGGCCACAUUGGGACGGAGACACGGCCCAGACUCCUACGGGAAGCAGCAGUGGGGGAUAUUGCACAAUGGGGGAAACCCUGAUGCAGCGACGCCGCGUGGAGGAAGAAGGUGUUCGGAUUGUAAACUCCUGUCGUUAGGGACGAUAAUGACGGUACCUAACAAGAAAGCACCGGCUAACUACGUG